AGAGAGAGAGAGAGAGAGAGAGAGAUGGAAUCCAAAGCAGGCUCAGGCUCUGAGCUGUCAGCACAGAGCCCGACCAGGGCUCGAACUCAUGAACCGUGAGAUCAUGACCUGAGCUGAAGUCGGAUGCUUAACUAAGACAUCCAGGUGCCCUAAAGGCUCCAACUCAUAAUACCAUCACACUGGGGAUGAGGCCUUCGACAUAUGAAUUUGGGGAGACACAUCCAUGCAGUCCAUGGCAGUAUUACACUGGAUCUGGAACUUCUUGGGACUGCAAAAAUGUGUUGGCCUAGUUUGUGACAUGCCAACCAAGCGUGGUACAUACCUACACAGUGGCAAUGAUGUGGCCCUAGUCUUUGUGUGUUUUCUACCAUAUCUGAAAGGCAGAGCAAUGAGAACCCACUUCAAAAUGGAGGGCAGGACAGUCGGCUUUCCCAAGCAGAGGCCCUCAGUCACAGCUUUUCCAGGACAUUCUGCGUUCCAGGCACAUGCCCUGCAGAAUCUCAGGCAGAUGGCUGGGCUUCUCACUUGCAUCUCCCUGGCUCCACAGUUUGUUCUAUCUUUCCCUUUUAAAAUGCGGUUCAUUCUAGAAACAGAUGAAUUGGUACACACAGUACUUCUGAGGAUAGAUCCACGAGAAGUCAGCCGCAAAGCCCAGGAGAAGCGCAAUCUCUGGGAAGAAGCCAAGCACAGAUUUCAGUGGAACAUCUCCCUCAUGCUUGAACAAGUUUUUCUUUCUUGUUGAAACCUGUUCAAUUCCCUCUAUACACCCUACUCUCCAGACAGAUGGACAGACAAGGAGACAGAUACAUGCUUAUUUUGGUCUAAACACUUCUUUGCUGAAGUAUAGCUUUCCGCCAGGCUCAGUUACGUGCUGCUAAGGAAUCAUUCACAUUCAAUCUGUCUACUUCACCCCAGCCUGUGGAACACUUCACACACAUUCCCAAGUCCCAACACUCCUCAGAAACUGACAACGAAAACAGCAACACUAACAGGACUUCACAGAAUGAUUUUCCCCGAACAACCGGAAGCGGCUCUAACAUUGUCUCGUAGAACAUCGUCGUGGCCUGGCGUGAAGAUAGGGUCGGUGAUAGGAUCCCAAUUAGGAAGAUGAGGACACUAAAGAAACCUUAGUCAGUUUGUGAGUAAAGCAAUGUGGUUCUGUUCUGGCCUCCAAACCAGUUCCUAUCCACCAGCUACCAACUCUUUUGAAGAGUCAGAAUGUUGAGACCAGUGAAAAGCUGAAGAGCUGUGUCAGUUAUCAGCCACUUGCCUAUGAGGCAGGGAGAGAGGAGGUUUUCGUGUAACGUCUUCCCACUGACCUUAACCUGUCUGCUUCCUUUCUAAGAGAGAGAGAGAGAGAGAAAGAGAGAGAGACAGAAGAGAGAGAGAGAGAGAGACAGAGAGAGGGAGACAGAGAGAGGGAAGGAAGGAGGAGGGACUAUUCAACAAUCCAUCAGGCAAAUGCCUGUACAGUUGUUUAAAGUAGAACCUGGUUGAUUCCAGUGGUUUCUUACAGCCUUAGCUCACAUUGCCUCACAGGUGAAUCAAUUCAUCCUUUUACAUUCAAACAAAAGGCAUUCUGGGAUAAUCUUUCAGAGACGGAAUGACUCCCUUAGGAUACAUACACACAAGAAGAACGCUAAUUCUAUCACAGUGCUAAUGUACCAUUACUAGUAAUACGCUUCCUCCAAUAAAUUAACCAGUACCUUAGGUCACAGCUAAAUACAUAAACCAGUUUGAGUGAGUUAGUGGGAACACUGGUUAAACGAUAAAGAGACUACGAAUUAUCACACGUGGAAAAGUCAAGAACUCCAGAGUGCCGAAGCAAAGACAGGAUUCAGGAGAGAAGAUGGCCGCUUUUACAUAGUUUGAGGGUUGUCCUGUGGACGAUUCUACAUGUGCUCCUGAGUGCCCAGAAAACAGGCCUGGGAUGGCCCACUGACGAUACAGGGAGGCAGAGUCUGUUAUAUUAUAAAAGCAUCUAAGAUUUAAGGGGCAUCUACGAUGCGUGAGCCACUCUGGAGGGUGCUUUUACAAAUGAUAGCUCAGUGAACCACCUGCCCCCACCCUGCACGGUAGCCAACAGUUAACAUGGUGGUAGAGAAGUUAACAACGGAGGUUCAGAGGAACUGAGACACUUGCUCCAGGUCACAGUGCUUCCGAGAGGCAGAAAGAGGAUUCGAUCCAACUCUAGGCCACUCCCAAGGCUGUGCCCGUUUGACAGCUGGCCCCUAUGGGAAAAGAGCUGCUAAAAAGGGACAGGAAUAUACAAGUAAAUACAGCACCUGGAAUAGCUUCCAUUCACGACGGAAAGCCGUUUGUCUAAAAAGAAUCUUAAAAUCCUAAAACGUUGAUUAUGGGCUUCUCUUGAAGAAACAGAGUGGAGAGACCGUAAGCUUUCAUUUGUCUUUCCUUCACUUCUUAUUAAGGGCAGUUUUGUGGCAGCAAUAAAGUAAAAUAACUCAGUAUCGAUGUUCGGUAAGCUCCCCAUCAAACACAGAGGAAAAAGGGAAGAAGGAUGUUGCUAUAAAAAUACCUGUAAACUGAUCCAUCCACAUAAGACCACUUUAAAAGCCAGGGCAGAUGGAUUCUCAGUUGCCCUUUCUUUUCCCAUUUCUGUCUAACAAGCGCAAUCUUUCCUAACUUCCGUCUGAACAAUUCCAAAUGACGACUUGAUUUGCAGUGAUGGGCCUGCCAGGAAGCCGGGAGCUCUGGUGAGCAUUUAAAGUCUCGCCCUCCUCUGCCUCUCCGAGCUUCUGGUUCCUCCUGAGUAGCAUGAGGGGACCCUGGUGGUCUUUUUCACCUCUGCCUCCAUGAACGCCAGCACAUCCCUACGACAACAUCCCCACAUGUUGUCCUGUGACUGAUAUUACUGUGUAUAAGCACAAUACGUGGCUAAGAAUAUCGCAUAAUGGAUGACAGCCCAGGACCAGACCACUCGGUCUUAAAUCUCAGCCAGCACCCCAGGACCAGCUGUGAGACCUGGCGAAGCAUCUAACCUCCCUCUGUCUCUGAGCCCGAGUUUCCGCAUCCACGACACGGGGCUAUGGAUGGUACCUGUGUCACGUGCUCGUCUCACCAUUAAGUGAGGGACUGAGUGUGUGCCAUCAUUACUAUUAUGGGGUGACAGUGGUUCUCUGCGUAUCAGGCUCAUCCAGGGGGCUUUGAAACACCCAUAGGUAAAGGCUCUAUUCCAGAGGGGUCGGAUCAGUAGAUCUGGGAGGGGGCUUCGGAAGCUGCCAAGUCCGUGCAGGGGGGACCCUGAUGCAAGGCUGGAGACAAAGAUUACCAUGGCAUCAGUUCACAGCAGGCCCCCAGAGACAGGUAAGGCAAACUUUGGGGGAAUGAGAAGCACACACCUUAGACCCAGACAGGUUUGGGUUCAAACACCAGCUUUGCAAUUUCUCAGCCACGUGGCCUGGAGCUAAUCACUUAUCUCCUGUGAGUCUCUGUCUUCUCAUCUGUAAAUGGAGAUAGCACCAACUUACUGAGUGUUGCCGUGAGGUUUAGAGAGAUCUGUGAAGGCUCCAGCAGGCAAUCGGUACAGGAUGCUUUAAAAAAUGUACACUUAUCCUUACGUGGAUUGCUCAAAACAGAAGGAAAGGAAACAGAAGAGCUGGCUAUCUGGGGCCUUUGGAACAGGCAGUUAAUCUUCUAAGAACUACGAAUUAUAAUUUGUCUUUUUUAGAUAACAAAUACAUCUGUAUGUUACAUGUUCUCCCUUUUGAACAAAACAAAUUUAUGUACUCUUUGCUACACACUGUUUUUUUUUUUUCUUUUCUUUUCUUUUUACUUAACAAUAUAUCUUGGGGAUUUUUUCCCAAUCCCUACACACGGAAGAUCCUCAUUUUUAUUCUACAGAAACAUGGUAUUCCGCUGAAAUGAUGUCUCAUAAUUUAACCAGUCGCCCCAUCGAGGGGCAUUUAGGGGGCUUUCUAGCAUUUUCUCAUACAAACAAUGCAGCAAUGACUAACUUUUAAAUAAAUCUUUUCACACAAAUGUAUCUGUAGGAUAAAUUCCUAGAAGUGAAAUCACUAGAUCAGAAGGUUUGUACAUUCGUUAUGUUGUUAAAAAAUCCCCCACCCACCCUCCGUAGAUUUUGCACCAGUUUGUAACUCCCAUCAGGAAUGAGAGGGAGCCUGCUCCCCACACCCCCAUGAACACACGCUCUUGUCAGGCUCUCUGGUCUUUGGCCAUCCAAUGGUCAGGAAGUGGUAUCCCAUGGUUUAAUUUGCCCUCCAAGUACAAUUGUGCCUAUUUUCAUGUUUUAGGACACUCUGAAUACUCUUUCCUGGGCAAUGAUUCUUCCUAUCCUUUGCCUGUUUCUCCAUUGGUUUGUUGGACUAUGUCAUUUUGAUUUAUAGCAGCUCUUUACAUAUUUGACUUGGCAGGCCUUGGUCUGUGAUAUGAAUUGCAAAUAUUUUUUUGCAGCUUGUCAUUUGUUUUUUGACUUUGCUUAUUGCUAAUUCGUCCUCCUGUAUUUGUUCGUCUGCCCACGUAGAAAUUUUUUAUGGAGUUAAAUUUACCAACUAUUUCUCUUAUGGCUUUUGGGUUUUGUAUCAUGGUUUUAAAGAGGCUUCCCUGUGCUGAUGUCACCAGAGAAUUCUCUUCCGGUUUCCUCCAAUAAAUGUAUUGUUUUACAUUCUGCAUUGAAAUCUUUGAUCCAUUUGAAAUGUACGCCGGUGUAAGACAUCUGACCCAACUCGCCAGUCUGCUCUUCUGUGGUAUCAUCAUUCACUACCACCCAACCUGAGCCCUUUAAAGAUGUAGAGAUCAUUCUGGAUGCCUGAUUCCAGGAAGGAGGAGGAGAAUUAAUGACACAUGGACCAAACGGUGAACAGCAAUCAGGGUGUUACCUCCCCAUUCCAUCUUUGCUUGAUUUUUUUUAAACUAUACUUCUCCCCAUAAAGCCAUAGGCCGUAAUUAUGUCAUACAAGCACCUGAAUCAAAAUCACUUUAAAGUA